AUGUUCCCAAAGAAAUCAACUAAAGAAUAUUCAAUAAGAUCUCAAUAAGAUUUUUCUCCGCUUAUAGGUUUCCUCUCCCUUGAACCAUUAUUGGGGGCAAGUUAAGAGGUAAGAGAAAACCAGAAAAAACUGAAGCAAGAAUGAGUGCUUCUCCCCUAAAUCUUGAAACAUAUGGCUCCCCCCUUAAAUUCCUCUUUACAAAAAAAUAUGCCUUAGGCAUUUACACCAAUUGAGGAUAUAACAUUCCUCUCCAAUAGAUAAUCAAGCCCCCAUCUCCUUAGGAUUUGGAAAGAACAACCCUUACUACUCUUUUCCUCUUGUCGACCUUGUAUUCUUGUGGAUCUCAUAUGUUAUUCUAGUGGAUGUGUGAUUGAACUUAUCUUGGAGUGUUUCCCUUGGUGAUUUGUGUGUUCACCUUGAAUCCCCUCCAAGUUAUGAAAGAUGAGGCCACCUAUGGUUCUACCGUACAUCAACCUGUCUUUUAACUUUUGAGGCACUCUCUUAUCACAGAGAACGCCGGAGGUUUGGCGCCAUUCGUCUAUCGAGCUUUGAUCUGACCCUUGCAUCUUCAUCGAUAUCACCAUCCAUUUGCAAAAUUCAAACCAAAUAUCUUUGGUGUCUUUCUAAGAUACCGCUUGUCGACUGCCUUCUAAUACUGAAACCACACCUCAUAUUACUAAUUCAAAUCAUGGACGCGAACUAAGAGCACUCGGCGACUCCACCCAUCGAAAUCACAUCCGCUGCUGCACUGUCUCGGGAUGUGUGCAACAUAAUUGUAAAAUAGUUUUCCCUGGCUAUACACGACCUGUAGCGUAUGCUUGAACAGUUUGUACCUGUCCAUCGGCAUUAACUGUAACUGCAUAGGGGCCCAUUAGAGCACUGUACAGUUCGGCCACCAUAAUCAAUUCGAACCUCCUGCACAUACCUUCACGAGUUAAGGCCAACCCUAGGAAGACUGCAUUGCUAGAUCUGAGGAGAGGGAAGAAAGCUCUCAGCGAACAUACUGUUCUUCUUCCACAACGAUCUACUAUCCCUUUUCUUUCACCAGACAAGAGAUAUUGUUUUGGUACAAGUCCGAGGAGUUAUAGAUCUUGGAGAAAAGAUAUGAUUCCGUUGCCAGAUCCCCAGGUCGAUCCGGAAAACGGCUUCCAUGGAAGCGAUGGAGCGCUGGCUGGUCGGCGUGGUGGGACAUGGCACAUUGAAUUGGCGUGUAAUUUCUGCAGUCAUUUGAUGUUUGCAUGGUAGUUGUGAGCAAAGGCCUGGAUGCAUGUUGUGCACGGGACGAAAUGAGAUAUUUGAGCUGUGUGUGAUAAAGUUUGUUACGUCGGUAAGUUAUAUGACAGUACAGACAUACCUUUAAUUUGAGGUUUAAGGAAAAUCAAUUUGUGUAA